ensembl:snRNA U6 U6 spliceosomal RNA
GUACUCAAUUAUGUGCAGCACAUAUACUAAAACUGGACAGAUACAGAGGUCAGCAUGGCCUCUGUGCAAGGAUGACAUGCAAAUUUGUGAAGCCUUUUCUUUUUUU